UACAGAGGUCUCAAGCGUUGUUCGGAUUCAUUGGGCGUAAAGGGUGCGUAGGCGGUGAAGUAAGUCAGGUGUGAAAUCCCGGAGCUCAACUCCGGAACUGCACUUGAUACUGCUUUGCUAGAGUACUGGAGAGGAGACUGGAAUUUACGGUGUAGCAGUGAAAUGCGUAGAGAUCGUAAGGAAGACCAGUGGCGAAGGCGAGUCUCUGGACAGUUACUGACGCUGAGGCACGAAGGCCAGGGGAGCAAACGGG
rnacentral:rRNA from 1 species